rnacentral:rRNA from 2 species
UGGGGAAUAUUGGGCAAUGGGCGAAAGCCUGACCCAGCAACGCCGCGUGAAGGAAGAAGGCCUUCGGGUUGUAAACUUCUUUUAUGAGGGACGAAGGACGUGACGGUACCUCAUGAAUAAGCCACGGCUAACUACGUGCCAGCAGCCGCGGUAAUACGUAGGUGGCAAGCGUUGUCCGGAUUUACUGGGUGUAAAGGGCGCGUAGGCGGGAUGGCAAGUCAGAUGUGAAAUCUAUGGGCUCAACCCAUAAACUGCAUUUGAAACUGUCGUUCUUGAGUAUCGGAGAGGCAAGCGGAAUUCCUAGUGUAGCGGUGAAAUGCGUAGAUAUUAGGAGGAACACCAGUGGCGAAGGCGGCUUGCUGGACGACAACUGACGCUGAGGCGCGAAAGCGUGGGGAGCAAACAGG